CCGGCGAUGUCCGAAUGGGGAAACCCAGUGCAAUUCGUUGCACUAUCGUUAACUGAAUACAUAGGUUAACGAGGCGAACCGGGGGAACUGAAACAUCUAAGUACCCCGAGGAAAAGAAAUCAACCGAGAUUCCCCCAGUAGCGGCGAGCGAACGGGGAGCAGCCCAGAGUCUGAAUCAGCUUGUGUGUUAGUGGAACGGUCUGGAAAGUCCGACGGUACAGGGUGAUAGUCCCGUACACCAAAAUGCACAGGCUGUGAACUCGAAGAGUAGGGCGGGACACGUGGUAUCCUGUCUGAAUAUGGGGGGACCAUCCUCCAAGGCUAAAUACUCCUGACUGACCGAUAGUGAACCAGUACCGUGAGGGAAAGGCGAAAAGAACCCCGGCGAGGGGAGUGAAAAAGAACCUGAAACCGUGUACGUACAAGCAGUGGGAGCACCUUCGGGUGUGACUGCGUACCUUUUGUAUAAUGGGUCAGCGACUUAUAUUCUGUAGCAAGGUUAACCGUAUAGGGGAGCCGCAGGGAAACCGAGUCUUAACUGGGCGUUAAGUUGCAGGGUAUAGACCCGAAACCCGGUGAUCUAGCCAUGGGCAGGUUGAAGGUUGGGUAACACUAACUGGAGGACCGAACCGACUAAUGUUGAAAAAUUAGCGGAUGACUUGUGGCUGGGGGUGAAAGGCCAAUCAAACCGGGAGAUAGCUGGUUCUCCCCGAAAGCUAUUUAGGUAGCGCCUCGUGAAUUCAUCUUCGGGGGUAGAGCACUGUUUCGGCUAGGGGGUCAUCCCGACUUACCAACCCGAUGCAAACUACGAAUACCGAAGAAUGUUAUCACGGGAGACACACGGCGGGUGCUAACGUCCGUCGUGAAGAGGGAAACAACCCAGACCGCCAGCUAAGGUCCCAAAGUCAUGGUUAAGUGGGAAACGAUGUGGGAAGGCACAGACAGCCAGGAUGUUGGCUUAGAAGCAGCCAUCAUUUAAAGAAAGCGUAAUAGCUCACUGGUCGAGUCGGCCUGCGCGGAAGAUGUAACGGGGCUAAACCAUGCACCGAAGCUGCGGCAGCGACACUAUGUGUUGUUGGGUAGGGGAGCGUUCUGUAAGCCUGCGAAGGUGACCUGUGAGGGUUGCUGGAGGUAUCAGAAGUGCGAAUGCUGACAUAAGUAACGAUAAAGCGGGUGAAAAGCCCGCUCGCCGGAAGACCAAGGGUUCCUGUCCAACGUUAAUCGGGGCAGGGUGAGUCGACCCCUAAGGCGAGGCCGAAAGGCGUAGUCGAUGGGAAACAGGUUAAUAUUCCUGUACUUGGUGUUACUGCGAAGGGGGGACGGAGAAGGCUAUGUUAGCCGGGCGACGGUUGUCCCGGUUUAAGCAUGUAGGCUGGUUAUCCAGGCAAAUCCGGAUAAUCAAGGCUGAGGUGUGAUGACGAGGCACUACGGUGCUGAAGUAACAAAUGCCCUGCUUCCAGGAAAAGCCUCUAAGCAUCAGGUAACAUCAAAUCGUACCCCAAACCGACACAGGUGGUCAGGUAGAGAAUACCAAGGCGCUUGAGAGAACUCGGGUGAAGGAACUAGGCAAAAUGGUGCCGUAACUUCGGGAGAAGGCACGCUGGUGUGUAGGUGAAGUCCCUGCGGAUGGAGCUGAGACCAGUCGAAGAUACCAGCUGGCUGCAACUGUUUAUUAAAAACACAGCACUGUGCAAACACGAAAGUGGACGUAUACGGUGUGACGCCUGCCCGGUGCCGGAAGGUUAAUUGAUGGGGUUAUCCGUAAGGAGAAGCUCUUGAUCGAAGCCCCGGUAAACGGCGGCCGUAACUAUAACGGUCCUAAGGUAGCGAAAUUCCUUGUCGGGUAAGUUCCGACCUGCACGAAUGGCGUAAUGAUGGCCAGGCUGUCUCCACCCGAGACUCAGUGAAAUUGAACUCGCUGUGAAGAUGCAGUGUACCCGCGGCAAGACGGAAAGACCCCGUGAACCUUUACUAUAGCUUGACACUGAACAUUGAGCCUUGAUGUGUAGGAUAGGUGGGAGGCUUUGAAGCGUGGACGCCAGUCUGCGUGGAGCCGACCUUGAAAUACCACCCUUUAAUGUUUGAUGUUCUAACGUUGGCCCCUUACCGGGGUUGCGGACAGUGUCUGGUGGGUAGUUUGACUGGGGCGGUCUCCUCCCAAAGCGUAACGGAGGAGCACGAAGGUUAGCUAAUCCUGGUCGGACAUCAGGAGGUUAGUGCAAUGGCAUAAGCUAGCUUGACUGCGAGCGUGACGGCGCGAGCAGGUGCGAAAGCAGGUCAUAGUGAUCCGGUGGUUCUGAAUGGAAGGGCCAUCGCUCAACGGAUAAAAGGUACUCCGGGGAUAACAGGCUGAUACCGCCCAAGAGUUCAUAUCGACGGCGGUGUUUGGCACCUCGAUGUCGGCUCAUCACAUCCUGGGGCUGAAGUAGGUCCCAAGGGUAUGGCUGUUCGCCAUUUAAAGUGGUACGCGAGCUGGGUUUAGAACGUCGUGAGACAGUUCGGUCCCUAUCUGCCGUGGGCGCUGGAGAAUUGAGGGGGGCUGCUCCUAGUACGAGAGGACCGGAGUGGACGCAUCACUGGUGUUCGGGUUGUCAUGCCAAUGGCACUGCCCGGUAGCUAAAUGCGGAAGAGAUAAGUGCUGAAAGCAUCUAAGCACGAAACUUGCCCCGAGAUGAGUUCUCCCUGAGACUUUAAGUCUCCUGAAGGAACGUU
rnacentral:rRNA from 1 species